rnacentral:lncRNA from 1 species
UAUAAAAUAUUGUAAGUAUAUAGUUAUUAACAAUAACAAACCAAGUAUUGAUUUCAUGUCAUUGCUACGUUAAACAAUUUGUAUUCAAUACCAUUCGCUUACCCAGCAAGCGCCAACACUCCAUCAGAAUAGCAAAAUUUUAACCGAACCGUCUAGAACAUGCGUCCUUCAACUACAAAGACCUAUAUUUCCUUUGUUCUAUCUCAAUCUUUGCUAUUCUCGCUUCCAGUGUAGUCGCUUGCAAGUACUCUCUAGCAUUUUUUCGUGUUAUUUAGUGUUAUUCAUGUAAUUAUGGCUUCAAAAGAUUUCAAAUGUAAUUGUGUGAUGAACAAUUCAAUGAACUGAACUCAAUGGUUGCCCACGUCCGUUCAGCCAAGGACUCCUGUAAACAGGACCGGGCACGCGCAAACAUGAAUUCAAAUGCAAAAAACAAAAAACAUUGCAACGUGUUUGGUAAGAUAAUAAGUAAUAACUAUAAGUUACUUUGUGGACCCCCUCUUUAUUGUGUUUUGUAAUUCCAUUCAUGCCCACUAAGUGUUGUGCUCCAGGGUGUAGAACGGGCUAUGACAAGGAGCCACAACAGUCUGGUGUUACGAUCCAUCUGUGGCCAAACAAAGAAAGAAACCCCAGACAUGAUACCGCCUUGCUGAGAGUCAUUCCAAGAGAAACAGAUCUGAAGAAGACAGAUUAGGCACCAUCCAAAAGUACAAAUCUGUGUUCCCUGCAUUUCAACGAAUCUGAUUUCAUCUGUGAGUCUAAAAGAAGUCCGACUCAUGGCAAGCCUCUGAAGAAGAGGUAAAACAGCUGCUCACUUUUGAUACGUAUGCUUAUAACUGUCCUUCUUUUACAGGUACCUCAAACCAGAUGAGGUACCAUCACUAUGGCCAAACUGCCCCAACUGCCCCAACUACCUCUCAACUCCUCAAGCUUCUUCAAUGCCAACUCAAGCUAUGACCACGUCACGUAGGGCUCAAUAGUUCAAUUAAAUGAGUUCUGUUGAAGAACUUGGUGACAAAUUGGCCAAGGAGACACUCCCAUCAAACGUUACCCUCAUCACAAAACCAAGUGUUGGCCUUUUGAAGCUAUCCAAUGAUGAGAAGUUGGAACCCCAAGUAGUAGCCAGCAUUCCGUUUGAGACAGAUAUGUACCACUCUGGUGUGUUGAUUGACAAAAAGGUAGUGUCACACAUCACCUCAGAAGGCAAGGUCAACACUGUGAUUCAAGCCAUCAAUUUGGCUUCCUUUCUGGGAGCAAAAGAAGAAUUGAAUCAACCACAGACCGGAGAAGACAUUUUCAACAAGUUAGUGAAGUUUCUCAACUCCUCAGAGAUUGAACCUAAGCAAGCUUCUAAGCUCUAUUUCAUUCGUAAGAAAAUGGUUCUCCUCUUCACCAAACCAAAAGCUAGAUAAUAUUCACCUUGUCUUCUUUCAACCGUACUCAUGUGGGAGAAUGUGAGCUUAGGACUAUGUGGAAUUUACUGAACGUCAAGACACCUGGAGUUGAUUGCGAAAAGAGAGAUGAGCUUUGAGAACCAAUUUCUGAUAAGAAAAAACUUGCCCUCUCUUUCUUGAGAGAUUUUGUCGAUUUUCUCAUCGAGUGGCAAAACAGUAAAGCACCUGCCCUCCGAAACCUUCCUAGAAACAAAGCAGACGUGCCUUACUGCAGUAGAUCUUGCUGAGUACCAUCUCAUAGAUGAAGACUUCUCUUAUGUACUCCUCGGCAAGUUCCAGUCCGGUCCCACCAAAAGAAGGUUUGGCUGGUACAGACAACUAAGUGAAGAUAUCUACUAUAUCACUGUGAGACAGAUCCUGGAAACAGAGAAUAAGAUUCGUAUUCUUGUCAAAUUCUCAGGAACUAGCUUCUAAGGAAGAGAGUAAUGCUCUAUACUUUGUUGUAAGGUAUAUAGGGUUUUCUUUGAAGAAGAAGAUCAGCUGUACAUCAUGCCAAGAGUUAAUAGUCAUCAGAGACACACCUCCGGACUCAAUACCCUUCGAUAGCCCAACCAAUCAGCAUGUAGACCUGAAAGAGUUCAUCGACAUAAAGAGCAGAGGGGGGGUUGUCGACCCCAUCCGACCUUCUCUACCUCUCCUGACUUUAUGGUCACUCCAUGUUCUCUAACAUCACAGCUACUUCUAAAGAGAAGGACAGUUUACUUGGCACCUCAAAUCCUAGAGCUUCAUUUUUGCCACAUUCAUUGACAGGAUGCAGGACAAUUUAAACUCUGACAUUAUCGCCGUUGUGGGAGUAAAGUGCGAGGAAGGACACUCCUGGGCAGCUUUUCUCCAAAUAAUUUCAUUCGCUUUGUUUAAUGCCAUGGGUAAAAAUAUAAGUGCUAAACUGAAUGAUGACAUC